rnacentral:rRNA from 1 species
GAUGAACGCUGGCGGCGUGCCUAAUACAUGCAAGUCGAGCGAACAGACGAGGAGCUUGCUCCUCUGACGUUAGCGGCGGACGGGUGAGUAACACGUGGAUAACCUACCUAUAAGACUGGGAUAACUUCGGGAAACCGGAGCUAAUACCGGAUAAUAUAUUGAACCGCAUGGUUCAAUAGUGAAAGACGGUUUUGCUGUCACUUAUAGAUGGAUCCGCGCCGCAUUAGCUAGUUGGUAAGGUAACGGCUUACCAAGGCAACGAUGCGUAGCCGACCUGAGAGGGUGAUCGGCCACACUGGAACUGAGACACGGUCCAGACUCCUACGGGAGGCAGCAGUAGGGAAUCUUCCGCAAUGGGCGAAAGCUUGACGGAGCAACGCCGCGUGAGUGAUGAAGGUCUUCGGAUCGUAAAACUCUGUUAUUAGGGAAGAACAAAUGUGUAAGUAACUAGGCACGUCUUGACGGUACCUAAUCAGAAAGCCACGGCUAACUACGUG